UACGUAGGGGGCAAGCGCUGUCCGGAUUCAUUGGGCGUAAAGCGCAGGCAGGCGGCCCGCUCAGUCGGCCGUGAAAGCGCCGGGCUCAACUCGGCGAGGUCGGGCGAUACUGGCGGGCUCGAGGCUGGUAGAGGGCGGUGGAAUUCCGGGUGUAGUGGUGGAAUGCGUAGAGCUCCGGAGGAACACCAGUGGCGAAGGACGGCCGGCCCUG
rnacentral:rRNA from 1 species